CCUAAAUUUUGAUGUCAAUUGUU
rnacentral:snRNA from 1 species